CACAUCCAGCCCUUUGGGCGUUAGCGGGCUAUAUAAAGGGGAAGCUGCGUCCUGCUGAACUUCAGUGCGGAUCCAGACAGCCAGGUUUUCAUUGCGGGUGUGCGCCUGCUUCUCACCAUGGCGAACAAGGGAUUCUUCCAGCUGCUGAUGAAGAAGAAGGAACUUAUUCCUCUGAUCGGGUUUGUGAGUUUUGCUGGAUCGGAGCCACCUUCGCUGGCUGGAACGCGCUGAGAAAACCCGACCUGAUUUUAAGCAAGUCUGACCCAGAACCGUGGCAAUAUGUGGAUCCUACCAAACCCCAGAAGCAUCUAACAAUCAACCAGCAAUGGAAGCCCAUAGAAGAGCUGGAGACAGUUCGAGAAAUGACGAAGCGAUGAGGUGUCAUCCCCCCAAACGACACUCUAUGAAUCUAGUGGAAUCAUUUCUGCACAAACUAGAUUAUCGAAACCAGUGUGCGGAAAUGCUUCUGCUACAUUUUUAGGGUCUCCCUCCAAUUUUUUGGACUCUGGAUUAAGGACUUUACUGUUGACCUUAGUAAGUUACCGUGUAUACAUCCACACAGUCCAAAAAUAGAGGUUGGCUCACACUUGUGAAAGCCACGUUUGCUUUGAAGCACAGUGUCCGACGAUCUAUAAGCUAUGCCCUUGUGAACUUUGAAAAGAGUUGUCUUAUUUUUCUCCGAAAUAAUACUGCAAUAUAUAUUUUCAAUAAACCUGGAAUCGAAAUUUGAAGUUA